CGUGGCUAACCUGCCCUUGGGACAGAGACACCCCCGGGAAACUGGGGCUAAUCCCUGAUAGGUGAAGAACUCUGGAAUGAGUCUUCACCCAAAAGACGCCUAGGCCACGCUUCUAGGCGCCGCCCAAGGAUGGGGCCGCGACCGAUCAGGUUGUUGGUGAGGUAACGGCCUACCAAGCCUUUUACCGGUACGGGCCGUGAGAGCGGGAGCCCGGAGAUGAGCACUGAGACAAGGGCCCAGGUCCUACGGGGCGCAGCAGUCGCGCAAACCUUGCAAUACACGAAAGUGUGACAGGGCUAUCCCGAGUGCCGUCCGCUGAGGGUGGCUUUUACCCAGUCUAGAAAGCUGGGAGAAUAAGGAGAGGGCAAGUCUGGUGUCAGCCGCCGCGGUAAUACCAGCUCUCCGAGUGGUGUGGAUGUUUAUUGGGCCUAAAGCAUCCGUAGCUUGCUGAUCAAGUCCCCUGUUAAACCCAACGAAUCAAUCGUUGGAUUGCGGGGGAUACUGCUCGGCUAGGGGACGGGAGAGGCCGACGGUAUUUUCGGGGUAGGGGUGAAAUCCUAUAAUCCCGAGAGGACCACCAGUGGCGAAGGCUGUCGGCUAGAACGCGCCCAACGGUGAGGGAUGAAAGCUGGGGGAGCGAACCGGAUUAGAUACCCGGGUAGUCCCAGCUGU
rnacentral:rRNA from 1 species